rnacentral:rRNA from 1 species
UACGGGGGGGGCAAGCGUUGUUCGGAAUUACUGGGCGUAAAGGGCUCGUAGGCGGCCAACUAAGUCAGACGUGAAAUCCCUCGGCUUAACCGGGGAACUGCGUCUGAUACUGGAUGGCUUGAGUUUGGGAGAGGGAUGCGGAACUCCAGGUGUAGCGGUGAAAUGCGUAGAUAUCUGGAGGAACACCGGUGGCGAAGGCGGCAUCCUGGACCAACACUGACGCUGAGUGAGCGAAAGCCAGGGGAGCAAACGGG